CUGGACUCUCUUUUCACAUGCAUAUAUGGCAUUAUGUUAAACAAGUAGCUAGCUCGAUUGGUAUACCACUGGAAAUGGAUUUGGCAACAAGGGGGAGAAUGAGGCCUAGUAUGGCUAUGGUAAGAAUCAAAAUUGACUUGCUAAAGAAACAACCAAAGAUUGUAUAUGUGGGUCAAGUUUAUGAAGAUGCUCCACAAAAAGGUUUAGUCCAAAAGUUUGAAUACGAGGUCAUUCCAAAAUACUCCAAAAUUUGUAGGAAACUUGGGAAUAAUAUGAUUAAUUGUAGAGUUUUGGAGAGGAAGAAAUUGGCAGAGAAUAAAGAGCAAGACAAAAAAAAAAGAGAAUGAGGAAAAGGUAAAGAAUGUACAACUAGAGAAGGAGGGGAAAGGCACAAAUGAAACAUUGAAAUAGGAAAGCAACAUUAGGCCAGGACAUAAGGGCCAAGGUCAGAGUACUUGCGAUGGAGAUCACGACAAGGCUAUGAACAAAGAGAGUCCAAGUGGCUAUAUAUAACAGAAUACUGCUGCUGGGAUGGAAGAGAACAAGCAGGACAAGGCUCAAAAUAUCAAAGCUAGAACUUCCAGAAACAAGAACACUGUCUAAAAUAAGAAACUUCUGAAGAAGAAAUCCAAGGUGACCUUUAAACCUAUUUACCAAUAGGCAACUGGAGGAAAAGUGUCAAGGGAUGGCUAUAUAUAUGCAGGAAAAGGAUAAAACUAUUGGACAAGAGAGCAGCAGCACAAGUGAGACUAAAGGAACUCAUGGUUCAAGGAAGAUUGAUCAAAAUCACGACAUCAAAGACAAUACUCAAGCAAGUAGUAAGGAAGUUGUCAGCACAACCUCCUACAAUCCGGAUGAGAUUGUACAUGUAGACCAACAUUCAGGAUGUCAGAACCAAGAAAUUCCAAAUUUGCAGGAAUAUACUAAUGGAUCUACUAGUAUCUCAUCAUAAAUCAAGGCUAUGCCGGGAAUUGACUUGGUAGUGGAUCUAAAUUCUGAAAAAGAGCAAAAACACAUAAAAAGAGGUCAAGACUUGGAGGUGCCUCAACAACUGAUAGUAGUCACGUCCCCAAUUAGAGUCACUGCAGUGAUUCAUGAAGAUCAAGUGCAAACUAAACAAUCUAGGAAACGAGGGUGAAGAUGAUAGCUUCUCUCCAGUUAUUAAUGGUGGGAACAGAAGCAAGAAUAAGGGAAAAAAGAACAAAGACAAACCCUAUGUUCCUCCGGUAGGAGGAAUAUGCUAUCUUCUGGAAUAUAAGAACACCAAAAAAGCCUUGCCAAGCCUAAAAACUUAGUAUCAUCAACAAAGUUGAGUUCAUUGCCAUCAUGGAACAUUUUGUUAGUAUGAAAAAAUUGAGAGGUGCUAGAAAUUCUUAGGAUUUCAACACUGUAUCUCCAUCACCAAUGAGAAAAUUUGAUUUAUGUGGUUAGGGAACAACUAGACAAGUGUGGUUAAGAAUGAUGACCAACAGAUUACUAUAAAAAUGCAAAAUGGGACUACUAAUGAUAAUCUUUUCUUAACUUAUGUAUAUGCUAAAUGUACUGCAGAAGAAAGGAAAUACUUAUGGUGUAGUUUGGAAAAUAUUAUCAAUGUGCAAAUUGAUGGACCAUGGUGCAACGGAGGAGACUUCAAUAUUAUUCUGGAUCCAGAUGAAAAAAGAGGAGGUAGACCUCACAAAAUGUACAAAAUCUUGGAUUUCAGCAGUUUUAUGGAUCAUUGUAAAGUUAUGGACUUAGGGUUCUUUGGGGAUAAGUUCACUUGGUGUAACAACUGGAAACCCAAAAGAAGAAUCUAAAAAAGGUUGGAUAGAAUUUUUGUUAAUGACCAAUGGUGCCAACUUUUUCAAAAUAAUAUGUUAGACACCUACCAAGAACAGGUUCAGACCACAUGUCAUUUCUGAUUAAAUGUUAUAACAAUAGACAGAAUGGGAUAAGAUAUCUUAGAUUCUUAGAUUUCUGGGCAGAGCAACAUUCUUUUAUGCAACUGGUGGAGGAAGUUUGGAACACUCAGAUAAAUGAAAACUCUAUGUGGAGGCUACAACAAAAGCUAAAACUACUUAGUAGAAGACUCGAUAUAGGUAAUAUAUAUAUCAUCAGGUUCAUGUAUGGGAGGCAAAAGUACACGAUCUAGAGGAACUGGACUUGGCCAACAAUACAGACACAUUAAGAGUGGAACUAAAUAAGGGCCAGGCUGAAUAUAUCAAAUGGAUAAGCAUACAAGAUGCUCUUUUGAGACAGAAGUCUAGAAUAAAAUGGUUUGAAUAAGGUGACUCAAAUACCAAUUAUUUUCAUAGUAUCAUCAGAGACAGGAGAAGGAGGCUUCAACUUCAUAGAAUCAAAGAUCACAGAAAUAGAUGGGUUGAAGGUGAUGACAACAUGUCCAAAGCUGUUUUUCAUUAUUUUCGGAAGUUGAAGUAUCAGUUUAAUGAUUAUGACAUUCCUAAAUGCAUCACUGCUGAGGACAAUGCUCAUCUUACUGCCAUUUUAAAGAAGCUAUUUUCAACAUUAGUGCCUCUAGUGCUACGGGAUCAGAUGGUUACAAUGACACUUUCUUUCAUAAAUGUUGGGAGAUUAUUAAGGAGGAUAUCAAGGACUUCAUCCAGGAUUGUUUCAAUGGGAAAAGAAUGGCUAAAUUUUUUUCUCACACUUGUCUGGUCCUUAUUCCCAAAGUGGAUGCCCUAACUAACUUCGCUGAGCUUAGACCUAUUUGUCUGAGCAAUUUCACUAGCAAGGUCAUAUAAAAAAUUCUCUCAAGUAGGCUUAAUUUUAUGCUUAGAAAACUUAUUUCAGAAAAUCAAAGUGGAUUUGUCAAAAGAAGGAUGAUUACUGAAAACAUCCUCCUGGAUCAAGAAAUUGACAAUAAUAUCACAAAAGCAACAGAGGAGGAAACAUGAUCAUAAAGUUGGAUAUGUCUAAAGCCUAUGACUGGAUGUCUUCGAAUUUUUUAUGUCAGUUUUGAGGAAGUUUGGGUUUUCAGAAGAAUGGUUAGAUCUUAUUUGGGAUCUGGUGGGUGAGGUUUGGUAUUUCAAUCAUUAUUAACGGCACCAGAAAAUGUUUCUUUACCUCCUCACAAGGUCUUAAGCAAGGGUAGGAUGAUGUCUAACGGAGGAAGAAUCACCCUUAUCACGCAUGUUCUUCGGUCACUUUCUACCUAGAUCCUCUCUGCUAUGACUCUCCCAAAAAGCACUAUCAGACUUAUGAAAAAGCAUUUUGCUAACUUCUCCUUGGUUGCAAAUGAGGGGAAGAACAAUUACUACUAGAGUUCAUGGCAUAAUAUGUGUCUACCCAAAAAUGAGGAUGAUAUUGGUAUCAGGAGAAUGAAAGAAGUUAUUGAAACUAUUAGUAUCAAAAGGUGGUGGAGAUUUAGAACUCAACCAUCCUUCUGGGCCACUUUUCUCAAAUCCAAAUGCUGCAAAAGAUCUCACCCAGUGAAGAAACUACCAAUCUCAUCUGAUUCUCACAUAUGGAAGAACCUCAUGAAAAUCAAGGACAAAGUAGAGCCACAUAUCUACUGGAAGAUUCAGCUAGCAACUCUAGCUUCUGGUGGGACAAUUGGACUGGUAAAGGUCCUUUAGCUAAUAUAGUUCAAGGCCCUAAGAAAUUGGCUAAAGUACAUGUGAAUAAUUUCAUCCAUAAUGGAACUUGGGACACCAAUAAGCUGGAGCAGUUCCUUCCCCUCAAUAUCAUUGAUAUCAUCACCAACUUGGAUAUUGGCAAUUGCCACAUGGAUGAUUUCCCUGUGUGGAACAUCUCUGAGGAUGGUCACUUUUCCAACAAAUCUACAUGGCAAUCAAUUAGAAUGAAAAGGCAGAAGAAUAUUUUCAUAAGUAAUGUUUCGCAAAAUUAUAUUCCUUUUAAAAUUUCCUCUCUUACUUGGAGACUUUUUAAAAGAAAAUUUUCUUUGAUGAUAUGCUUGGAAGUUUUGGUACUAACAUCACUUCUAGAUGUUCUUGUUGUACUAAUGCGCAGGUGGAAACUAUGCAACAUAUCUGAUGGCAGUUACAUAAAAGAUAGUGGCAAAACAGGCAUUGGAGGUAUUUUUAGGGAUAGUAAUGGCGACUUAAUUAUGGCCUUCUCAGUGCCUAUUACUUAUAAUAGCAACAAUAUGUCAGAGGCAAUGGCUGCAGAGUUUGGAGGGAAAUGAUGCAAUCAACUAGGAUACACUAAUUUCGCUCUCGAACUGGACUCUAUGGUCAUCACAACAUGCUUUCAAAUAGAGAUUCUAAUAACUUGAAGAUCAAAGAUGGUGAUUACAGGGAUCAUUAAUAUUAUACAACUUGCCAAUGUGACUAUGCAACAUUGCUUUAGAGAGGGUAACCAAGUACUAGAUUCUUUGGCUAAACUUGUUGCCACUACUUAUCAGAGCCUAAUAUGUCAAACAUAUCAAUAACUGCCUGCAAAUGCUAAAGGACCUUUCUUACUAGAUAAGUGGCAAAUGCCUAGUAUAAGGACAAGGUAUGAUAAGUCCAAUUUUUUUGUUAGUUGAAGUCUGUACCAUUAAUUUUGCUCAGAAAGGAGGACAUAGCGUUAUACCUCCUUCUGAUUUCUAUGUGAUGGAAUCACCACUGUUGUAUCUUUUUUAGGUCAGGACAUAGCCCCCUUAAUGCACUUUUUUGGUAAUACACUACCCAGACAAUAGUCUGGGUAACUUUAAUUAAAAAACAAUGA